UACGUAGGGGGCAAGCGUUGUUCGGAAUGACUGGGCGUAAAGGGUGCGUAGGCUGUGAGGUAAGUCAGCGGUGAAAUGCCCCCGCUCAACGGGGUGAAGUGCCAUUGAUACUGCCUUGCUGGAAUGCGGAUGCCGUGGGAGGAAUGUGUGGUGUAGCGGUGAAAUGCAUAGAUAUCACACAGAACACCGAUUGCGAAGGCAUCUCACGAAUCCGCUAUUGACGCUGAUGCACGAAAGCGUGGGUAUCGAACAGG
rnacentral:rRNA from 1 species